UACGGAGGGAGCUAGCGUUGUUCGGAUAUACUGGGCGUAAAGCGCACGUAGGCGGCGCAGCAAGUCAGGGGUGAAACGUCCGGGCUCCGAACCCGACCUGACCUUGAACUGCAGUGCUAGAAUCUUGGAGAGGCGAGUGGAAUUCCGAGUGUAGAGGUGAAAUUCGUAGAUAUUCGGAGGAACACCAGUGGCGAAGGCGGCUCACUGGCUCGACACUGACGCUGAGGUGCGAAAGCGUGGGGGAGCAAACAGG
rnacentral:rRNA from 1 species